rnacentral:rRNA from 1 species
AUUGAACGCUGGCGGCAUGCUUUACACAUGCAAGUCGAACGGCAGCGCGGGCUUCGGCCUGGCGGCGAGUGGCGAACGGGUGAGUAAUACAUCGGAACGUGCCCAGUAGUGGGGGAUAGCUCGGCGAAAGCCGGAUUAAUACCGCAUACGACCUGAGGGUGAAAGCGGGGGAUCUUCGGACCUCGCGCUAUUGGAGCGGCCGAUGGCAGAUUAGCUAGUUGGUGGGGUAAAGGCCCACCAAGGCGACGAUCUGUAGCUGGUCUGAGAGGACGACAGCCACCGGGGGAUUGGGACAGGCCCAGGCUCCCAAGGGAGGGCAGAGGGGGGAAUUUUGGGAAAAGGGGGAAAGCCCGAACCCAGAAAGGCCGGGGGGGGGAGGAAGGCUUCGGGGUGUAAAACCCCUUUGGGGGGGAAGAAAAAGGGUGGAGCAAAACCCACGGGUCGGGAAGGGAACCCGAAAAAAAGGCACCGGUAAACUCGGG